CAACUGUGCUGCUCCGAACAGCCCAGCUCAGUAUUGAACAGUAAGCGUUGCCAUAACAACUUCGCGAAAAUAUUCAAGUACCGAGAAUUCAAUUAAAAUAUUCGAUUGAAAAUAUCAAUUGUGACAUAAGUGUUUGUGAUGAGUUGAUGUGUUUCGUUGAUGCGAUCAAUUAAAAGAAUUUUUAUUAAAAAUAAUUGAAGAAUCACAAAAAAAGAGAAGAAUUACUGAAAUCAGCAAAAAAUGUUGAGCGCCAAUAUUAAGCCAAUUAGUGAUAUAACGUGAAGUGCAGAAAAAGCAAAGCAAGUAAACAGCGAAUUGCUGUGCAGUUUUUAUAAAUUCAUUUGAAAAAAUAUACCACCUUGUCCGUGACAACAACAGCCUGUCCCAUUUCAAGGCUUCAAGCGCAAAAAACUCGCUAAAGCACAUGAUUGCAUUUUUGCGCACUUGCCCCCCUGCCUGUAUGUAUAUUUGCGAAAUAAAUGUCAUAAUAAACGAAAUAAAGAGCCAAACAUCAAAAUAAAAGCUUUGGAUUAUACCGACGCACUCACACACCGACACAUAUUUACACGCACACAUACGUAGAGAGGGGAGUGACGACGCCACAGCAACACGUUCGCAUCCAGAAAGGAUUACGGACAUAAUUUAUUUACAUUCGUACAAGUGAAUAUAUUGCGCCGCACCGCGUAUUCAUAAUUCAAGCAACAACAACAAAGGCAGCAUAUAUACAUGUAAAUUGCAUACACCAACAACAAUACAGUUAACAUUACUUAAAACCCUAACUUACCUACCCAGCACACCCCCGCACACAUACACAAACAUACAGAAUGGAGGAUAAUAACGUCAUCGAGGAGCAGGAGGAGACCACCACCUCAACUUUGAAGUGGCGAAAAACGCGUACCACAGUCAAGACUUCAUCGACAACCAAGACCACCACUCUCACUACGCCUGCCAAAUUGUACGGCAAGGAUUUGAGCGAGUAUGAUGAGGUUGAUGUUGAUGCUCUGCUGGCGCAAUUGUCACCGGAAGAAAUCAAUAUUUUGGCCAAAGAAGUCGAUCCCGAUGACAAUUUCCUGCCACCAGAUCAACGUUGCAGUUAUGAAUGCGCCAAAGAUCCCACUGGUCCGUUGAAUCGCAAAAAGCUUAUCGAGCAUAUUAAUAAGCAGGCCUUAGAAACACCCGAUGAGCCCGAAUUUGAGCCGUACGUUAAGGGUACCGUACGUGGCAAGAAAUGGGUACCACCACCAAGAGAUGAAAGCGAAGUUGCUGCUGAGGAACAGAUCGCCAUCGAUUUGGGUGAAGAGUAUGAGCAUGCGCUGAGCGACGCUACACAAGAAGAGAUUAUCGAUCUGGCUGCUAUACUUGGCUUCCACUCGAUGAUGAAUCAGGACCAAUAUCAUGCUUCUUUGUUGAACAAAGGUCAACCAGUUGGCAUGGGAUGGGAUGGUAUUACAAAAUCAACUCAACCAAAAUUGUUCCCCAUGGACCCACCAAAUAACACAGAUGUCGAAGAAUCAAUUAAACGCGUAAAAGAUAACGAUUCAAAAUUGAUUGAACUGAACUUAAAUAACAUUAAGAACAUUUCCGAUGAGAAAUUGGAACAACUUUUCCAAGUACUGCCUGAAAAUGAAAAUUUGGAAGUUCUUUCCUUAACAAAUGUCGGCCUUACCGACAAGACAGCUCUCUUAUUGGCUGAAGCAAUUGAGAAAAGCAAAACCUUGAGAGUAUUAAAUGUUGAGACGAAUUUCAUUAGUCCGCCUGUUAUAGUGACCUUAGUGAAAGCCCUGCUCAAGUGCCGCACAAUUGAAGAGUUCAGGGCCUCCAAUCAACGAUCCUCAGUGCUCGGUAACAAGAUCGAAAUGGAAAUAACCGAAUUAGUGGAAAAGAAUCCAUCAUUGCUCAGGUUGGGUCUGCAUUUGGAGUUCAAUGACGCACGCCACAGAGUUGCCGCACAUUUGCAGCGCAACAUCGACAGAAUACGUGUAAAUCGCCUGAACCAGCGUAAAUAAACUGUGUGAACCAACCAACCAACCAACUAGCCACUUUGUUGUUCACCUUAAUUUGCAAAGCCAACCGUAAACAAACAGAAAACCUCUACAAUAUACAUACAUACAUAAUUCUCUACAACUUACAUAAUAUGUGUGUUGUUGAAACAAAAAUAAGUAGAACAAAAAAAAACUAAAAAUUUUAAAACUCUUUUUGUAUUAUUGAAUGAAUGUUUGUAAAUCACGUUAAAGCAAUGAAAACAAAAACCGAAAACCACCAAAAUAUAAAAUUUGCUCGACUAAUCACUUGCUCCAUCUACUACUGUGUUACUCCAACUACAAUUCAACUGCCACCACCACCACUACACCACCAUGACCUCAGCAGCCACAAUAUCAAUUUCCAGAAAAAUAAAGGGUGUAAUCAAGCGAGAAAAGUCCCAUUGAAAGAAAUUGUGCAAAAAGUGGCCGCCUACGACGUUUGGGUCACUUCAGCCGCAACUACACUGUGGGCGCUUGGCAGUAGAAGGCAUGCAGCGCACAGCCGCAUCAAAUCAAAGUGGAAUCGGAGCGCAGCGAGCCGAGGCGCUUUAUUUCAACACACCUACCUAAUCGUACGACUUCAAAAAGCAAAUAUCUAACAUCAAUUAUAAUCCUAGACUACUUGAAUGCUAAAGUUACAUAUGCAGUUACAGCAUUUAUAAUUCACGUGUAUUAAAGUUUGUAAACAAAACUCAGGCACCAAUGCAUGGGCACUAACACCAUAGCAGAGCUCGGAGCAAAAUGCACACACACGCUUUAUUAUUCUCAAUGAAAAUGCUUAAAAAAAUGCAUACGGGUAUUACGUAACAGCCGAUCUGCAAUAAAAUAUAAAUGUUUGUUUGUUUUCUUAGCUUACCUACACACAUAUUUGCGUAUAUACAUACAUAUGCGCAAUUAAAAUGCUAUUUUAUACUUAAAUUUAUCGAAUUAUGUUUUAAAAACGCGCAUAAUAUGUGCGCACAUGCGCAGAAUUAGUUUUAUUUAUGUUAUUAGUUUAUUGUUGAGGUUAUUUCAUUUGUAACACACACAAAAUGGUGUCUAAUUGUAAUUAUGUUUAUAAAUUGUAAGCGCUCCGUUGCGUUUUUGUUCCUUUGAACGCAAAAUAUUUGUAAAAAAUCAUGUAAUUUCCAUAGUGAAACUUUUGGAACACACUCACACACACAUACACCUUCACAUAUGAUUGUAUGUUUAACAGAUGCUGCCAGUAAAUGUACUAAAUGCAUGGUUAGUUUAUAAAAAUAUAUACAUACACCUACUAUAUAUAUUGUACAGUCAAGUGCAAAUGCGUUCGAUUCGUUUUGAAGCCACACAGAAAGGGAAAGUAGCCAGAAGCUUAACUCAACCUAUCAUCUCUACAACCUAUCACGCACUUGCGGCCACUAAGCUGUCAUAUUGAUUGCACCUUAUCAGUGCAAUUUCGAGUGUGUACAUUUAGCUUGUGGACAUGUAUUUGUGAGAUGAUGUCAUUAGUUAAUAAAUCAAGAAAACUAAAAACGUGAAAGACAGCUAGAAUAAUUAUAUAAAAACUUCAAGAGUAAGACAUUUCAGUGAGCUUACAGUGCUAAGUGGCUAUUAGUCCACCAAAACGGCAACUCAUGGCGCCCAUUAAAGUCCACUUGAGUCUUAUUUGCAUUCUCGCGCGGUUUUCCUCGUAAAUGUAAAGAAGUAUUGUGGUGUGAAAAGCAAAAUUCAAUUGUUUAGUAUCAAGCAUACGUCAGCUUUCUUGAAGCACUUGAUAAGCAAUUUUUUGCGACAUGUUUUUUGCACAACCGCCCUAUUUUGAAAGUGUAGAGAAAUUCUUUAACAUUUAUUAAACUUCUUCAAUAAGAGAAAAAGAGAAGGCAAAAAGAGGUUUCAACAAAUUGAGUAGGUUUUAGAGCCCCCCCCCUAAAAUUAAAUCAAUUUAUUAUCAACAAAUUGCCGUUACUUUGGCUCAAGUCAAAAAAAAGGUUGGUGUAUGGCGCGACGGUAAAUUCAUUGAAUUCUCAGCUCCACACAAGAACACUGAAUUUCAUGUU
rnacentral:misc_RNA from 1 species